GACAGAUUUUCAAAGGGAACUACAAUUUAACCUAUCCUUCUAUGUAGAGACUCCAUCCAUGGAUAUUAUUGUCCAAACCAUGUUGGAGGUUCAGGAGUUCGUGCUAAAACAGAAGGAACAACAAACUCCCGAACGAACCCAGGCAAUAACAGCGAUACCAGAGGGUUAGCCCAAAAUACUGUAUGGUGGGUUUAAAAACUUGAUUGAUGCCUUCCUUCAAGAUUUUGAGAGACAAUGUGUCCUACAUAGGAUUAGUCCAGAAGACUGUCAAGGAGGGCAGUGGAAGCUUGCCACACCGUCCCUGAUGAGGAAAUAAGGAACUAUGGGCGAGUAAAAGCAGUGAUACUCGCCAGGUAUGUCAUCACACCAGAGGCAUACCGCAGCCGAUUUAGAGACCUAAAG